rnacentral:rRNA from 1 species
UACGAAGGGUGCAAGCGUUACUCGGAAUUACUGGGCGUAAAGCGUGCGUAGGCGGUUUGUUAAGUCCGCUGUGAAAGCCCUGAGCUCAACCUGGGAAUUGCAGUGGAUACUGGCAAGCUAGAGUGCGGUAGAGGAUGGUGGAAUUCCCGGUGUAGCGGUGAAAUGCGCAGAUAUCAGGAAGAACACCAAUUGCGAAGGCAGCUCUCUGGGACGGUACUGACGCUGAGACGCGAAAGCGUGGGGAGCGAACAGG